rnacentral:lncRNA from 1 species
UUCAUUGAGGAGGUACAGUGUAAGCUAGUCUAAUUUUCAGGAAGGUGUAACAAAGUGUACAUGUGGUAGACAAAAAGGAUGGCUCCUCACCUGACACGUUUAAUGAUUCAGUCACGUUUCAACUCAGGGGAAAAGCCGAGGUGACAAGAAUCCGGAAGAAGUAUCAUUUAACGCCUAUUAAAUAGCCUCAGUAGACCGCGUUCUCGUCAAAUUUUGCUGCAGUUUUGCCUGGUACAUAUCGUCAGACUUCUGGAUAAAGACUCUGGCAAACUGAACAAAGGUAUUGGAACAGAACGACAACUGUGCGAGACAAUUCCCUUAAUAACAGCAAAGAAUGAUGAAAAUCUUUGUUUUAGUUCUCUGCGCAAGUUUGCAUCUUGGCAGUGCAGGUAUGUAUUUUAAUCGUCACUGAGUAUCUUGACUGUUUUGUUUGUUGAUGUGUAAUAAGACAGUAAUGUAUCGAAGGUUCACUGUUCAGUGGACUUCGCUCAGCCUUUCCCAGGAAGUGGUCAUCAUUUGCAUAAUCCUAUCACACGACCUUAUCCAAGAGAAAAUAAAGUGGUCUCUUGUUUUAUCAAAGCUUUCAUACUUUAAGAUUUACAGGCUAUGGCCUUGAAUACCCCCCUCCAGCUCCUCAAGACAAAAAAAAAAGCCCGGAUAGAACAGAGUUCAGCAUCAUGACGUAAUUUCAUGACGUCACUUCUAUAGUACAGAGUGUAAACCGUUGUCAAAAUGUAGUAUGGGAAACAAACAGAGAUAUGCGAUUACAAUAUCCAAACUCCUGCAGCUCUAAACGACGUGCCAGUGGCCAAUACGUUCUUAUUGUUUUAGAUUCUUUUGACUCCUUUAACUUCACUUCAAUUGAACGUUUUGUCGACUUAACGUGGUAUCCGGUUAUCCCUAUAAAGUUUUCUUCAAGAUACUUACAGCUCGGAGUGGAGAUUAUCAGUUUUCAACACUUAUGAACCGUUUCAGAUCUAAAUCGUAUUAUUCUGGCAAACAGCAACUUUUUUUUUUCUGUAGAAUCAAAGUGGCUAUGAGCCACUGAACUUGCAAAAUGGAUUGUCUGUCAGACAACAUGCAGUGACAAUUUUGAUGCCAUGCACCGACUUAAGGUUUUAAUCCGUAGGUUAAGUUAAAGUUAAAGCACACUGGCAAAACGCAACUGUAAGAGAAUACACGAGGAGAUGUGGCAACGUUUGAAACAUUCAUGAAGUUAUUGGUGAUCCCCGUUCGAGACAAUUAUAAAUAAAGUACGCUUCUUGUCCGAUCAGCAAAGCAAGUAUAAUCGGAUUGUCAUUUUCAUUUCUAUUUUUUUCGUUCUUUAUUUUCCCAGGCGAUUUUUGCUAUCAGUGAUUUUUUUCUAUCUUUGUCACCUUUUGAGAGAUCUUAGAAACGAAAAAAAGUUAUCCAACGUAGGGUCAUCAUACCACAAAGACAGCACCGCGUCGACGCGUCCGCUCAACAAAGUUAAGCCCUGUUCGGCGGGGUUCCUUCAUGCUUGGAUGGGUUACCAAAUACCAAUCCCCCAUGUUGUAAUAACUUUUCUUUUUCUUUUCUUUCUUUUUUUUUUUUUCUUCUUCCCUUUCCAAGGCGAUAUUAGUGACCCCUCGGAACUCCCAGUCUUGUGUAAUGCCUUUUGUUUUCUAUUUAUCAACUAUUUUGUUCAAAUCAUUUCGCCAUGUAAGUAAGUAAGUAAGUAAAAGCUUUAUUAAUGUGUCAAUGUAUUUAUCUUUGAAAUAUAGCGAAACGCGUCGUUCGAAUUCUCCUCAAUUCUCUUGUCUGUUGAUCGUCCAAAACUUUUAAUCACGGAUUGAAUCAUAAUUCGAACAUUCAUACAGCUCAUCAAUUUUGUGAUUUUCAAUAUCCCCUCAGUUUUCGGCAAUCGAGUACGGUUAAACUUGUAUAAGCGGACACCUUCGGGAAAUGAGCUAUUUAUAACUUAAUAGCUUCUAUAUAUAAAAACGUUCGUGCGAAAAUCUAUUCAAUGUAGAUCAUUUCUGUGGUAAGAUAUUGAGCACUUGCAUCAGAAAUUCAAAGAACGACUAACUAGACACGGUGCAAUCGACUGUAAAACGGCCUUGGACAGCGCGAUGUUCGAAACCCGGAAGGACUCCAGUAUGAGAAGGCCGGAGAUGCUCGUCGUCUCGGGUAGAAAUCAGGAAUUCUGGUCUCGAUUAGAGUGUUGAUGACGAAACGUCACCAUCCUUAGCUGUCAAAGUAUCCUUUAGGGAGCAGUCGAAGAAAUGAUAAUAAAAGAAACGUUAUUUGUUUUCCGCUGAUCUCUCGAGUACGCGAGUGGGGUCUAAAAGUGCGCGCGAGAUCCUUUCUUGAACAGUGGCAAGUAAUCGAACCUAUUCCGCUUUAAGUGGUAUCAAAUUUUCCGACGCGCACGAGCAUCCCUGACCUUCUCAUAUGGGAGUUUCCCCAGGA